UCUUGUAAGCGCCCAAACACAAAAAGCACAACAACAAACAACAAAAAAACAAAAAAAAAACAUCUGAACAAACCAGAAAAAAAAAAACGGUGCUUCUCUUCCAUCCCU
rnacentral:ribozyme from 1 species